rnacentral:rRNA from 1 species
GACGUAGGGUGCAAGCGUUGUCCGGAUUUAUUGGGCGUAAAGAGCUCGUAGGCGGCUUGUUGCGUCGACUGUGAAAACCCGCGGCUUAACCGCGGGCUUGCAGUUGAUACGGGCAGGCUAGAGUUCGGUAGGGGAGACUGGAAUUCCUGGUGUAGCGGUGAAAUGCGCAGAUAUCAGGAGGAACACCGGUGGCGAAGGCGGGUCUCUGGGCCGUAACUGACGCUGAGGAGCGAAAGCGUGGGGAGCGAACAGG